rnacentral:misc_RNA from 1 species
UGAGUCGUCCCACUCGCUUCAACCGCGUCCACGACAAGUGGGGGCGACUGUGACGUCGUGGUGCAACGGCUCGCCGCGAAUGCGCCGAGACCAGAGGUCAAGACUUGCUUAUGCGCACCGGCCGCGCGCACGCGUUCUUACUUAAACUUUCAUUCGUAUUUGCUUAAUUGUACCUAUAUUGUUAUUCUUAAAAGUCAUUAUACGUAUUCACAUAUUAUACAGUCCACGCUUAUUAUUUAUUCCACCUGCUGAGCUAUCGUCGCAACAUAUGGUCCUUCUCCCAAGAAAAAUUGAACUGGACAAAGAAGACAAAGGACUUUGGUGAACGUCGACCACGUCAUCGAGUGACUCAGUGAAUAUUAUCAAGUUUCUUCGCUGUGAACAUUGUUACGUCGUGAUAUAUCAGCACGGCUUGAGACUUUUCGGCCGUCUUAGCUGACGUCACCCAACUGACACGAGAAGAAACGGAAUUUGGGCUACUAAUUAUUCGUCAUCAUAACGGACAGCAAAUACACGUGUUCAGAUUGUCGUCGUGCAUUGAGAUAUCUGACAAGAAUACUCCUCGGCGUAGUCAUCACCAGUGGUUUGCACCGGAAAACAGUGAGCUCGAUCCAAUUCCUUAUUUAAUCAUCUCAUCAUCUUUCCGUCAUCAUAAUCACAUUCAUUAUCAUCCAUAUCCCACAUUACAUUCAUUUCUUACUUCAUUAUAAUUAAAGAACGGUGUUACAUUUUUGCAAGUCAUCUCCACAUUAUUUCAUCAUAUUUCAUCCCAUUUUACCAUUUAUUUCAACUGUUUCAUCUCUUCAUUCAUUAAUUUCACUAUAAUUUAAUCAUAUCAAUUGCAGUGUCGUUUUAUAUUUCAGCUAAAAUCUAAUAUUAUUUUCUUAUAACGUUAACAUUACGCAGCGAUUAUCAGUGCACAAACGCCUUGCAUUUUUAAAUAGCAAUACACAUUCUGCUACAAUUUUGCUCGUGCACUUUAUCUUGCAACUCGUUGCUAUUAUUUUAUGAGAAGUGUUUAACUUGCUGUUAGUUUAUAUAUUUCCUUAGUGCUUUAUUACAAAAAUCUAUCGCCUUCUCUUAAAAUGUCUGACAUUAAAAGCCUUAUGAGGAAACGUGCUUCAAUUAAAGCAAAGCUUACGCAAUUCUCUUCAUACUUAAACAUUGCUAAGUCAUGUGAACAGUUGAGCGAAGUUCAGAUUGUUGAGGUUGAGUAUAGACUUAAUACUAUCGAAAAUCUAUAUGAUAAAUACGACGUGUUACAGGCCGACAUGGAAGAGAUGGUGGACGACCCUAGCGAGCAAUAUGCGGAGCGUGAGGAGUUCGAAAAGCAGUACUACAGCUUGGUGGCUGCAGCACGUCAGCUGAUCAACAAUGCUCGCAAGCAAGCUUCAGGGAACUCCAUAGCCGAGGUUGAUGUUUCUUGUUCUAAGCACACACACAAACAUAAUUCUAUCCGUUUACCUAAAAUUGACCUUCCUAAGUUUUCCGGCAGCUAUCAUGAUUGGUUAGAGUUUAGAGACACUUUCAUUUCUAUAAUACAUAAUAACGACAGCAUAGAUAACAUAAAUAAAUUACAUUAUCUUCGUGCCUCCUUAAAGGGUAGUGCUUCCUUAAUUAUUGACAAUCUUGACUUUAGAUCUGAUAACUACGACGCUGCCUGGAAGUUGCUCUGUGAUAGGUAUGAUAAUAAAAGGUUGUUAGUUAACAACCACGUUCAAUUACUUUUUAAUGUGCAGUCCAUCAGCAAGGAAUCAAGUAAGUCAUUAAGACAUAUUGUUGACACCACAAAUAAAAAUUUAAGAGCGUUAUCUACACUGGGUCAACCUGUUGAGUACUGGGACACGCUGAUCAUUUAUAUAAUGACAUGUAAGCUUGACCAGGUGACAAACCGAGAGUGGGAGGAGCAUAGGAACUCGUUGUCAGAACCUCCAACGUUAGCUGUAUUUAUUGAAUUUAUUAGUAACAGGGCAGAUUUAUUAGAAACGCUUGAGGAAUCCAAGUCAUUGUUUGCUAAAGUUGAAGAUAUACAUGUAAACAACAUUAAACAAAGUAAACAUUUUUCGGGUUCAAGUGAAACUUCUCGCAGUCCUUUAUCAUGUCCAAUGUGUCAAAAAGAUCACUUCAUUUUUCAAUGCGAUAAAUUCAAAAGCUUGCCUGUACAAUCACGUAUCAGUAAAGCUCAAACUUCCAAUGUGUGCUUAAAUUGUCUUCGACCAGGUCAUAAUAUUUAUAAAUGUAAAUUGGGUCACUGUAAGUAUUGUCGUGAGAAGCACAAUACAUUGUUGCAUUUUGAUCGCGAUACCGUUGUUCCUAAUCAACCGACUAGUACUUUAGCUUCUGUUAAUCACCUUUCUACAUCUCGAGUUGUCUUACUCUCCACAGCGUUGGUGAAUGUGUCGGAUGCUGAAGGCAACGUUCAUACUGCACGAAUCCUGCUGGAUAACGGGAGUACGACUAACCUUAUGUCACAGGAGUUAGCUCGUAAACUUAACAUUUCCACCUAUACAGUCGAGUCUAAGGUAACAGGCAUUAAUGAUCAAUCUUCUUAUUGUACACAAGGUUGUUCGAUUUCAUUAAAGUCAGUCAAUAGUGAAUAUGACAUCGAUAUUGAUUGCUACGUCGUGUCCAAAAUUUCGUCGUGUGUACCAAAUACAUAUAUUGAUGUGCACAAUAUAAAUAUACCUACCAAUAUAGUCCUGGCUGACCCUCAGUUUUACGUUCCAUCUUCUAUAGAUAUUCUUGUAGGUGCUGAAGUCUUCUGGAACGUUUUAGGUACUAACCGUAUAGAGUUAGGUAAAUCCAUGCCUACUUUAUUUGAAUCAAAAUUGGGUUGGCUGUUAUCAGGAGUCGUCAAGCAAUCAAAUUCUUCUUCUCAUUUAUGUUUGCUGGCUGAUACUUUGCAGACAGACUUAAACCAUUUUCCUAAGCCAGACUCAAUUUCAGCAAAACAUACACUCACGCGCAAAGAGCGUUCUUGUGAGGAAUUAUUUUUGAAGUCCACUUACCGUGACGCGGAUGGACGCUUCGUAAUUAGCAUACCACGUAAGGAAUCUCCUGACGUAUUGGGUGAUCCUACAACAUGGCUAAGCGCCGCUUAGCAUUACCCUACAUAUUAAGGCUGAACUGGAGGUGCUCAUCAGAUAUCUUUUCUUACUCCAUGUCAAAUGCAACUUCCAGUAACAUGGCCACAAUACGUAAGAUUUUGUCUGUCAUUGCUCAGAUCUUUGAUUCUGUUGGCUUGGUCGUUUCUUGCAUAGUGGAAGCCAAGUCAAUCAUGCAGCAACUGUGGCUGGUAAAGUGUUCCUGGGUUGAGCCUGUUCCCGAACAUAUUCAGCAUCCAUGUGACAGCUUUCAAAAUAGCUUACUUUUUUUUAAAUGAUUUCAGGAUACCUCGGUGGGUCACGUGUGAACUAUCAUCUUCCGUGCAGUUGCAUGUGUUCACCGACGCAUCUGAAGGGGCGUAUGGUGCUUGUUAUCAUGUCCGCAGCGUAUCGCUUAGUGGACGGAUCGUUAAGGUGCUUCCUGGUAGAGACGGCAUUGCACGAGUCGCCGACAUCCGCACACGUAAGGGUGUCAUUCGGCGAGCGUUCAACACAAUUUGCCCGUUACCCGUCGCCACUACUGUUGAAGACACUUCAACGGGGGGAGUAUGUUGAGUCGUCCCACUCGCUUCAACCGCGUCCACGACAAGUGGGGGCGACUGUGACGUCGUGGUGCAACGGCUCGCCGCGAAUGCGCCGAGACCAGAGGUCAAGACUUGCUUAUGCGCACCGGCCGCGCGCACGCGUUCUUACUUAAACUUUCAUUCGUAUUUGCUUAAUUGUACCUAUAUUGUUAUUCUUAAAAGUCAUUAUACGUAUUCACAUAUUAUACA